GCCCAUUUAAAACCCUUUAAGCAGGUGGGGUCCAAUUGGGUCUUUCAUGAAUUGCCCGGUUAAGACACUCAUAAGAUUCUCAUAGAUCCCACUUAAAACCCAUCUAGGCAUCCACGGCUGGCCACCAUGUAGAUCCCGGGUGGAAACCCACUUAAAACCCCUUUGGGCAGGUGGGGCCCAAAUGGGUUUGGCAUGAAUUGCCCAGUUAGGACUCAUGCAGUACCAUUACAGGUCCCACUUUUAGUACGUCUGGGCUUCCCCCGGCUGGCCCCAAUGUGGUUCCCAGGUGCAAGCCCAUAAUGGGGCCCACAUUUGACGCCCAUGAAGCCCUCAUUUGGGCCCCACAUGUCAUUGCUGGCUGGGACAGAGACAGAGAUCAAGGCUGUCGUCAUAGAGGCCAUGAAGGAGUUGUCCGAAUUUUGUCACAGAGGACGUUUCUGGGAGUUUGGAAAAAUUUGUGACAUAUUGGACUCUACUAAUCCUCUUGCCAAGAUGAUUGCGGAGAUGCAGUCAAGGGGGUUGAUGAUUAAUAACUUACCUUCAGUCCUCCCAGAAUCAGCUCUAUCGACUACAUCUUCUGUGCCUCAAAGCUCUGGAGAAGGUGCAGAAAGUCCAUUGGAGCCUCCAAAUGAGCCCUUAUCUGACAAGAGCUCUGGAGAGUACUACCAGAGGUACAGUUUCAAAUCGGCAUUCCCAGAAAUUAAAUGUACACUGUGGAAAUGAUUUCUCUUUAAUAUACAAAGUCAUUUUGCUCACCUGCUUUUCUAUUUCAGCACUGGUGGACUGAUGUUUACCUCUUCCGUGAGGGUGGAAGUGGUCAAAAAAGGCUUUUACAAUAAGCACUCCAUUGACCACUCCCUUCUAACAGGAUUUAAUAAGUACCUUUACAUUGAUCUAGGAUAUAAAAACAGCAAACAAGUAGUAAGUUCAUUAACCACUUAAACUCUGCGUGCCCGGUACCAGGGACAAAAUGACGUCAUCAGGAGAAUAACUAUAGAUUUAAGAGGUCUGCCUGCAUCUAUCAAUAACACCAUAUGACCUACUGGGUGAAAGCUUAGAAUGUCUAUUUUCAACUAUUACACGUCACUUUGAUAUUUGUUGUACUGUAAAGAAGUUAUUUACACUUAAUUUACAAUUAAUUUACACUAUCUCAAGCCCCCACUAUUUUGUACAUUGUUCAGUAUGCAUAUUUUUCACAUCGCUAAUAUUAAACACAGAUUGGCAAGUAAUACAUCAAAUUAAAGCUCUUAUUCCCAGUAAUAAUGAUCCAUUGCUAUUUUUUAUUAAUUUACAAUCACAUAUCCAACACUCUUUGAAUGAAUCAAAGUAUAAACUUGUUUUUUGUAAACAUACAAGAGAAAUUAUUGCUUAUUUGCUCCGUGAGCUGCCAGAUAUAGCACAGAUAGGUAAACAAGUUACAUCAUCUUUUACCUUAGGUUAUCCUCUGCAAAAUGAGUCCAUUUUCAGCAUUUCUGAGGAAGUGUGCAUCAGUAAACCCCUGCUGUGUCUUGUAAGUGCCAAACGCAACAAAUUAGGGUCAUGAUAUUCCAAAAUUUGGGAAAAUGAUAAAUUUAACCUAUCCAGAUGUACUAUAUAUCAUUGCAAAGAUGAGAUUCUCGGCUUUACACUGAUGUAGCCUUGAUCAGCCAUUCAGUGACUGAGAUAUUGCAUGACGAAUGGGAAGAGAGGUGUCCAAAACAAGAGUGCGUAAAAGCCACAGGUCAGACGCACAAUACCUUAGCAUGCAGACUCGUUCCAAAUGGCUUCUAAAAAAGGAAAGGAACCUCAAAAAAAGUUUUUUGUUGGGGCAGAGGAAGUUUUGGAGGAAUUAGAUCGAGAUGAUUCAGACUCUGAAAGUGACUCAAGUUUUGUUACGAUAAGGGAAGCUGCUUUUGUUGAUGGAAAGGAUUAUGACCUGGACAAGUAAGUACAUGUUUACCCAAUCCAAAUGUUUUAAUAUACAUAUUAAUAUAUUAUAUACAAUAUAUUUAUUUGUAUCAUAAUGUAUUGUUCAUGAUCACGCUUGCUAGAUGCCUUUUUUCCAUUAUCGCACACUGCGCCUCGUGCGCUGGCUUUUGUUGUUGUUUGUGUUCGUCACAACUGAAAUAGCGAGAAACGAGUAUCCAGAUGUUUACUAGCUUAUAUUAUAUAAGCUAACACAUGCAUAUAAACUAUGUUUGUUUGCGUUGCAGUCGUAGUUUAUCAUAUAGAGCAUAUAUAGAUAGAGACUGACUGACUGUUAAUUAGGCUAGCACAAAGGAAAAGAAAAGGUGGCUGGGUCAUGCCCUCGCCCUUGAGUUGAUGUGGGUUGAUGGCUGGCGAGUCAUCUGGGCUUCUUUGGAGUGCCUUUGGCUAGGACGUGUCUUGAAGGCAUCAGGUGAUCACCUUCCUAGAGUCUGGAUUUGUUGCUGUAAAAGCCCUUUGUGCAUCUGUGAUAGCUGCUCAUAUUCUGAAACAUAGUAUACAGGAAUGAGAGAAAGUAAUUCAACACCAUUAAUACCUUUUUUAAGACUCCACACAUUUAAAGACCUUUAAACCGCUUUUCAACCAGAAA
ensembl:lincRNA